GGAGGGUACAGCUCAGUGGUAGAGCACAUGCCUAGCAUGCAUGAGGCCCUGGGUUCAAUCCCCAGUUCCUCCA
rnacentral:tRNA from 1 species